rnacentral:rRNA from 1 species
UACGAAGGGGGCUAGCGUUGCUCGGAAUCACUGGGCGUAAAGCGCACGUAGGCGGAUUCUUAAGUCAGGGGUGAAAUCCUGGAGCUCAACUCCAGAACUGCCUUUGAUACUGGGAAUCUCGAGUCCGGGAGAGGUGAGUGGAACUGCGAGUGUAGAGGUGAAAUUCGUAGAUAUUCGCAAGAACACCAGUGGCGAAGGCGGCUCGCUGGCCCGGUACUGACGCUGAGGUGCGAAAGCGUGGGGAGCAAACAGG